rnacentral:pre_miRNA from 1 species
AGGAGUAAUACCCGCAGUGGCAGCAGCCGGCUCUGGAGCCUUGGAUUCAGCUCCUGCAGUAACUAACUACGGAGCUCUCAGUCUGCAGGGGCCUGGAUGCUCUGAGGGUGG